GACGAACGCUGGCGGCGUGCCUAAUACAUGCAAGUCGAGCGAAGCGGCGGUUGGGUGAUUAACGCGUUGGUAACCUGCCCUUACGUCUGGGAUAACAUUUGGAAACAGAUGCUAAUACCGGAUACUACAGGUUGGUCCUGCGAUGCAUUAGCUAGUUGGUAAGGUAACGGCUUACCAAGGCGAUGAUGCAGAGCCGAGUUGAGAGACUGAUCGGCCACAGUGGGACUGAGACACGGCCCAAACUCCUACGGGAGGCAGCAGUAGGGAAUCUUCCACAAUGGACGAAAGUCUGAUGGAGCAACGCCGCGUGAGUGAAGAAGGUUUUCGGAUCGUAAAGCUCUGUUGUUGGUGAAGCGGUAAUCAACCAGAAAGUCACGGCUAACUACGUGCCAGCAGCCGCGGUAAUAC
rnacentral:rRNA from 1 species